rnacentral:tRNA from 1 species
GGCUCACUGGUCCAAUGGUAAAGCGCUGGUCGUGGAGUCAAGGGGUUCUGGGUUCGAUCCUCAACGGGGUCG